rnacentral:tRNA from 1 species
CGGGAUGUAGCGCAGCCUGGUAGCGCACCUGCUUCGGGAGCAGGGGGUCACAAGUUCAAAUCUUGCCAUCCCGACCA